rnacentral:lncRNA from 1 species
CUCCUCAUGUUGUUGAUCUGAUCCUCUAUAGGUCCCCAUGCUCCUGAUCCUCCUUGUGUACCGAUCCUUUUCAGGGAUAGAUAUAUGAGUCUACUCCUUCAAGUCAUCAUCUUCCAUUAUAAAUCAUUGCCUUCUACGCGAUGUUGUCGGACGAACCCUUUAUGGAGCAACAUCCAUAGACGUUCACGCAUUAUGGCUACAACUUUGUCGUCUCUACUUCUAGCACUACAUACUAAAAAAAAAAAGUUAAAAUCAAAUGAAUUAAGUAAAUACUAAUAUAAUAAAAAAUUAAAAUAAAAAAUAAUAAUUUAAAAAAUAUUUAUAAAAAAAUCAAACAACUACCAGAAAACUCAUGUAUGGUGUUUUCCGAUAGCUUCCGGAAAUGUCACGUUGAAGUUUGUCGGAGUUUGCUGGUAUUUUUUCCGAAAAACUUGAAAUAAGUUUCCUGGUAGUUCCAGAAAACUUAAAAAAUAAUUUUCAGAAGUGGUGUUUUGUACUGUAAAACUUUUUUCAUGUUUUUUGGAGUUGAAGUUGUGUCGAAAAACUUGAAAAAAUAAUACUCAUUUGUGUGUUUCAGUAAUGUUGAAAUGAAUAAAUAAAAAAUAGUAAUUUAUAUAUAUAUAUAUAUAUAUAUAUAUAUAUAUAAAAGGAUAUUUUUAUCUUUGCAUUAUAUUUUGAGGGACAGGAUAAAGGAGGGUUAUAUUGUAAAAUUUUCAAUUGAAAAAUACUAAAAGUCUCACAAUGAGUCACACCCAAUGAUCAUCGACCGAGGCGAUCAACUCUAUCUUCUAAGGCAUAAAGAAAAUGGUACUUCAACAAACAAAGAAAAUGGAACACAAAAGGAGAAAAAAAAGUGAAUUUCACAAUAUUUGAAAUGCAUUUAUAUUUAAACAAAUAUUAUAGGUAGAUUUUACAAGAAGCAAACUUAUUGAAUAUAGACAAAGAAGAGAAUGAAUAAAAAAAAAUGAAGCUGUUUAUUCGUGCAAUCUGAUCCAUAUUGUGCGUGUGAAAGCAAUAUUUCCGGGCAAAGGCAGUCUGUUAAGAAAGUGUUUGUUUGUUUUGGGGCCACAUUCCAUUCUAUUUACCAAGCGUGCUGCCAUUAACUCUCCCCAUUCACACUCCUAUCCCAUUUCCUCUUUCUCUCUCUUUCUCCUUAAAACCCGUCUUAAAAAAUACACAUACCUAUUUGCAAAAGUCAUUUUUCUAUUUCUAUUUCUUUCACGCCUCCUACAACCCUAUGGCGUUGAGAAGCAUUGCUGUUUUGAUCAUAACAAUAUUAUUAGAGAUUCAGAAUUUGUGCAUAUCGGCGGCGAUUAGCCGAGCAGAUUUUCCAAAUGGCUUUCAAUUUGGCACUGCCACUUCUGCUUUUCAGGUAAUUACUUCUACUCUCUAACUCACUUCACAAAAUACGGACUCUCAUUUUCUUUAGAUGGAAUAUAUAAAAUUUGUUUUGGUUUGCCUUUUUCUAUUUUUAUAAAUAAUAAUGAAGGAAAGUAGUAAAAGUGAAGCAAUUUCUCGAUGAACGUCUCUUUUUGUUUUUGUUUUAUUUUAUUUUAAUUUUAACGGUAGAUCGGUGGAAACAUAAAUAAAAUCUGAUGGAUAAUGAUUUUAGUGAUUAUUUUAACUCCGACUUUUAGUCUUUUUGGUUUUGUGAGAUGAAUGAAUGAGCUUUUUUUCUUCUUUCAUGCUCCUGGACAUACAUGAAGAUUUCAGAUGAUGAUAACGAAAAACGACACAACACAUCUUGUGUGUGUGUGUGUGUAUAAUUAACAAUAAGGAUAUAUACGCAUUUCAUAUUUUCAUACCUAUUAAACAUCUCUUCAUCUUUUUCUUUAUUAUACAUCAUUACUUUAUUAUAUUUUCAUACCUAUUAAACUUCUCUUUAUCUUUAUCUUUAUUACAUCAUUACUUUAUUAUAUUAUUAUCUUUCAUUUUUUAUAUAAAUCUAAUGAAGUGUACCCAAACAUUUUUCUAUAAUAAAUGAAUAAUGAAAAGCAAGUGUUUUGCGUUGUUAAUUAUGGAGUAUCUAACUAUGCCACACUCUCUAGUGAGUACUAUUUGGUUUCAAAUAUAAACAUAUGAAAGAAAAUUAAUUAUAAAAUUAUUUUAAGAUAAAUAUUAUUUAUAAUUUUCAAUAAAAUUUUAAAAUUAAUAUAUACAUAAUUUCUAAAAUAUUAUUAUAUUUUACAUGAUAAUAACAAAAAACUUAUCAAUAAUUAAAAAAAUUAAAAGAUAAAUUAUUUAUCUUAAUUAUUAUAUUUUUUAAUAUAAAUAAAAAAUUAAAUAAUACUCCACGGACAAAAUAUUUUAUUUAAAUUUUAAAUUAAAUAUAAUAAUUUUUUUAUAUUUGAAAUUCUAUUAAUAUUCAAAGUUGAAAAGAAUCGUAAUUAACCAACUUAAUUUGUCGGUUACUUUACCUGAUUUCUUGGACUCUGGGAUAAGGGUGACGAAUUAUGUUGCUCUUGCCUCUGCUUGAAAUUUCCCGUGAAGUAAUACUAGUAUAAGUAUCCUAUGGUGAUACUCCUACAGUCC